rnacentral:rRNA from 1 species
GAUGAACGCUGGCGGCGUGCCUAAUACAUGCAAGUCGAGCGAACAGACGAGGAGCUUGCUCCUCUGACGUUAGCGGCGGACGGGUGAGUAACACGUGGAUAACCUACCUAUAAGACUGGGAUAACUUCGGGAAACCGGAGCUAAUACCGGAUAAUAUAUUGAACCGCAUGGUUCAAUAGUGAAAGACGGUUUUGCGGUCACUUAUAGAUGGAUCCGCGCCGCAUUCGUUAGUUGGUAAGGUAACGGCUUACCAAGGCAACGAUGCGUAGCCGACCUGAGAGGGUCAUCGGCCACACUGGCUCUGAGACACGGUCCAGACUCCUACGGGAGGCCGCAGUCGGGAAUCUUCCGCAAUGCGCGAAUGCCUGACGUAGCAACGCCGCGUGAGUGAUGAAGGUCUUCUGAUCGUAUAACUCUGUUAUUAUGGAAGAACAAAUGUGUAAGUAACUAUGCACGUCUUGACGGUACCUAAUCAGAAAGCCACGGCUAACUCCGUG